rnacentral:rRNA from 1 species
CCCGCUGAACUUAAGCAUAUUACUAAGCGGAGGAAAAGAAAUUAACAAAGAUUGCCUUAGUAAGGGCGACUGAACCGGCAAGAGCUCAAAAUUGGAAUCGGAGAUUCAAAGAAUCUUCGAAUUGUAAUCAGGUCCGCCUAAAUACGAGAGUGCGUUUAAGUACGUCGAAUCGUACGCCAGGGAGGGUGAAAGCCCCGUGUAAUGUUCUCUCGAGUAAGGGGGAUCCCACAAGAGUCGGGUUGCUUGGAACUGCAGCCCUAAGCGGGAGAUAUGAAUCUUCCAAAGCUAAAUAAGGAUGGGAGACCGAUAGCGAACAAGUACUGUGAAGGAAAGAUGAAAAGGACUUUGAAAAGAGAGUGAAAAGAUCUGAAAUCGUUGAGAAGGAAGCGGUAGAAACUGACGGUCGUGCUGAUGGAUAACGCGGUGUACAACUGCGUAGUUCUUUCCAGAGCGACGGGCAAAAUCAAGUUGAACGCGUCAAAAAAGGCUAUGCCGUGUAGGGCGUGAUCAGCUUGAGGGACUAUUGUGAUUUUGCCAAAAUGGUUUCUACCGUCCCGUCUUGAAACACGG